GAUGAAGAACGUAUCGAAAUGCGAUAAGUAAUGUGAAUUGCAGAAUUCAGUGAAUCAUCGAAUCUUUGAACGCACAUUGCGCCCUCUGGUAUUCCGGGGGGCAUGCCUGUUCGAGCGUCAUUACAACCCUCAAGCUUUGCUUGGUAUUGGACAUUGCCAGUUUCUGGCAGGUCUUAAAAUCAGUGGCGGUGCCAUUUGGCUUCAAGCGUAGUAAUUCUUCUCGCUUUGGAGAUCCAGGUGGUUACUUGCCAAUAACCCCCAAUUUUUUCAGGUUGACCUCGGAUCAGGUAGGGAUACCCGCUGAACUUAAGCAUAUCAAUAAGCGGAGGA
rnacentral:misc_RNA from 1 species